GCCAUACCAUAAAUUUCACUUACACUUAAAACGCCAGGGUACUACGAGCCCCGCUUAAAACCCAAAGGAUUUGACGGUGUUCCACCCAACUAGAGGAGCCUGUUCUAUAAUCGACAAUCCACGAUCUACCUAACCAUUUUUUGCUACUCAGCCCGUAUACCUCCGUCGUAAGCUUAUCAUUUGAAUGAGGAAAAGUAAGCACAAGGACUAAAAGCCAAAACGUCAGGUCAAGGUGCAGCUUAUAAAAUGGAAGAAAUGAGCUACAAUUUCUAAUUUAGAACACACGAAUUACUGCAUGAAACAAAGUCAUGAAGGUGGAUUUAGCAGUAAGUAAGGAAUAGAGAGCCUUACUUAAUUUGGCCCUGGAACG
rnacentral:rRNA from 1 species